CCUACGGGAGGCAGCAGUGAGGAAUAUUGGUCAAUGGACGGAAGUCUGAACCAGCCAUGCCGCGUGCAGGAAGACGGCUCUAUGAGUGGUAAACUGCUUUUGUACAAGGGUAAACCUGAAUACGUGUAUUCAGCUGAACGUACUGUACGAAUACGGAUCGGCUAACUCCGUGCCAGCAGCCGCGGUAAUACGGAGGAUCCAAGCGUUAUCCGGAUUUAUUGGGUUUAAAGGGUGCGUAGGCGGAUCGGUAAGUUAGGAGUGAAAUGUCCGGGCUGAACUCGGGAACUGCCUCUAAUACUGUUGAGCUAGAGAGUAGGAGCGGUAGGCGGAAUGUAUGGUGUAGCGGUGAAAUGCUUAGAGAUCAGACAGAACACCGAUGGCGAAGGCAGCUUAC
rnacentral:rRNA from 1 species